UGGAUGCAGAUAUCCAGUGACACAACAUUUGAUUUCUGUUUGAGUCGUACAGGAAAAUCUGCGUAAAUUACACCUGCAGUAAUUUUGAUAUACAAUAGUUCCGAUAACUAAAGAUAUUACAGAGCCCUUUCCAAAUCCAGCGUAUAUUGUGGGGGGUGAUUAAAAGCGGUACAAACCAAUCGUUUGUAAGGAUUUAAAGCUUGGAUUGAUGGAGUAUAACGUCUUAUGAUAUUGCCACUAAAUACUCAAGAGCAGUCGAAAAAACCUCGAACUCUGACAUCCCAACAGCAUUGCUGUUACAUUCGAAGAACAGAAUGGUCGUCUCGGUGAAGUUUACUUCCGUUUGGAUCAUCGUUUUUUUAGCAUGCAUUGAUGAAGUAGUUUGCAGUGGUACAACAUCUAAUCCACCCUCGACUUCGACAAGCAAAUCAGCGUCAUCCAC